AUGGCCAUCUUUCUUCGCACAACUGCAUCAGAAGGAGGAGUAAGAAUGGAUAUUGGGUGUUUGCAAGAUGGCUGCCUGAUGCCCUCUCUUUGAAUGCUCCUCAGGCCCACACCCACAGGAACAAGAGAACAGCCAUGCAGAUGCCUGCACCUCAGAUGGAGAAACACUCAGGUCUGUUUCAGAUGACUUCGCAAAGCCAACCUGGAAGGAGACAUUUCCCUUCUUCAGAACACACAGCACUUCGUUCCUCUGGCUUCUGUGACCAUCAGCAAACGGGUGUGUGCUUGUAUUAGACUUAGUCCUUGGGUCCCUUUAGGCAGGCAUGGUCUUGUACUUAGCCCUGCCCUGUCACAUUAUAUUUGCUUGGUAAAUAUUCAUGGAAUUCAACUGGAAAUUCCCACGGGGGAAGAGAGGACAGAUAGACACCAAGCACAAUACAUUUUAAUAAA